AGCCUGGGGGCUGACCAGGACAGAAUGUCUCCAGGAGGCCCCUGUGCAGCAGCCACAGCCAGUGCUGUUACUAAGAAAAGCCCAAGGAGAAAGGGUAACACAACACGUCCGCCUCGGGCUGGCCUUGCGGCUGGGGGGAGGGGCGCAGAUGACUCAGGAGUUGCUCCAGGAGGCACAGGGACAAAGUCACGUCGAAUUGUCCAGCACAGCUGUCCCCUUGUCUGUUAGGGUGAAGAGGCUCUGAGCUCCUGUUGUCUCCAAAUUCUGCAGAGACUAGGUACAGCCUGGCAGGAGUCUCAGGGCAGUGGGCCUCCUGGGCUUGUCAAAGGUGCAGAAGAUCAGGGACACACUCGGGGACCUUUGCUGUUGCUCCUAGCCUGGCAGGAAGAGACUUCACCAUUAGCUCUCUGUGAUUCUCAUGCAGCCGCGAGACUUCCUGCCUCCCCCAGGCACCUAUCUGGCUGGGCUGGUACCGAUUAGAAGUAUGACUUGUCGGUGCCAUGAGUAAGAAGGAAGAAAAUCUGAAAAAUGGAGAGAGAUGCUCACAGGAGAGGAAAUGAAGACGCACUAAAGAGGUACAUUCCUGCUCCGGGAGAGGACUUCCCCUUACACACUGUAUUGCUGCUAACAUGGUCUCCUCUUUCGUCAUGGAGAAGGAUGACUCAGGGGACACAGCCACCAGGACACCAAGACCUGUGCUUGGAGAUGGAGUCUCAAAGGGGCUGACCUGCAGCUGGAGCCCACACGAGAGCUGGAGAAGUCACCGGCAGGAUGAAGCUGGCAUCCUUUAAAUGAAUAUGUUUUCCACCUGCUAAUAGCCCUCGGGGCUGGGGACAUAGCUGGCUGGCUGGUGCCCAGCAGAGAGCACCGACCGCCCAGCCAGGGCCCCCGGGUGUGGGCUGCUGUCCUGACCUGCCCUGGCUGGUGGGCAAGGGCCUUCUGGGACGCGGAGCACAGCUCCAACCACUAAAAGGGCCCAGCUUCUCCAUGGCAACCCCAAACAGCCUGUUCAUCCCAGAGGCUAUGCUGGCAGCAAAAGUGGGGCCAUGGAAGGGUGUCCUCGAGACUAAUAGUGGGAAGCAUGCAAAGAGUUCCUGCUGACCGCCGGCUGCUUUCUGGGAAUGCCUCCAAGGAUGGAGCCGGCCAAGAGAUGGCCAGGAUGGCCACGGGGAAGCAGAGGAGACUGAUUUACAGGCAAGGAAUCAUAAUUUAUGGGAACUCAUCAUUUACUGAUCUGGCAGCCUCCCCGAAAAGGGGUGAGGAUCUAGGUGGAGAGAAAAAGUGGGCGGGAUGGGAGGCACGGGGGAGGGGGAUCCACAAGAUCUGGUGACUCUAGGGUAGCCAGACUGAAUCUCCUGGCCGUGUGUGGGACAGUGUCCCCAGGCACGACUGAAGACCUCUGUCCCCUCAGUCAGGAUGUUUCUCCCCGUGCCACACGGACACACAGAGUCAUGGCCAUGGCCUGGCCAGUGGCUGCUGCCUUCCACCCAUCCUGCCUGCUCCUUUCCGCUCUGGGUUUCUGCUCUCACUCAGGCUGGCCAAAGUGACUGCCAGAUUCCACCCAGCCCUGGGUACAGACGCCUGCCCACCUUCCCAGGCCCUGGCACAGGGAGGGUGGGAGGGAGGGAAAGGGGCUGAGCUUUGGAGUCAGACAUAUUUGGAUCGAAUGUGUUGUUUGGACGUAAGUGGCCUCGGGCAAGGGAAGGGGCAGGGCCCUCAGCUUUCUCAGCUGCCCAUCAGAGGCAAACAAACACAUUUGGAUUUGGUCUGUGAGGGAACAGAGGGAUGCCUUAUGAGAGAAGGGGUUCUUCUCCCCUCGCUGCAUCGCCCCCUUCCCACACCCACUCCCCUCCUCCCUCCUAGCCUGUCUGCGGGUCCCUAUUUCUGGGCACCUGUGUCAGAAGACCAAAGCUGGAAAAAGCGAUCACCGAAGGGCACCCUGACAAGGUCCACCAGGAUGUUCUGAACACUCUGUCUCUGUUGUGGUAAACGAUGACUUUAAUUUACAAAGCAGAUGAAUACUAAAUCUUCAUGAAAUUAAAAACUAUAUUAUUUAUGUGAGCGGAAACGGAAAAUGUUCUGUAGCUAGCAGUGAUCCUGCUUUGUAGGAGGAACACUAAAAUAAUUAAAACCACUCGUGCUUCAGUAAUAAAUAAUGAUAAUAAAUAAAUGUCCUGACCUUAAGCGAAAAUAUAAAAUUAAAACCCAUUUGGUAUGUAAAUUCAUUCAGGACGUUAUCAAGUCUCCCAGCCUAAGACGGUGUGGGACAGAGGAAGCGUUCACUACAUGAAUUUUGAAAGGAAAAUCAAAGAACAACAGAGUUGUGUGUGUAUUGACUCAUUAUUCUACUUUAAUUCCAUCUAAUGCUGUGUGGAGCCUUGAGGCUGGGACAUUAAUUUCCUGCUUUUUCUGUUUCACCAAUUCCUCAUGGAGACCAGGAGAAAGAAUUUCAAUCCUGGAGGCUGAAAUCAGGGGAGGCCAGAAAAUUACAGGAGAGGUGGGGAACUCAAACCGGAAGGCGAUUUUUAACGUGUUUACUGAGAGAGCCGCUGAGGAGAAGCCAACAAAGAACAGGGCCUGUGCUGUUGAGCCUGGGGAGGGGAGGCCCGAGGGUCUGUGCCACAAAUCAAUAACGGAAUGCAACGUCCCAGCCUUGGGUUCAGGUGGGGAACUGCUCUAGGGCCUGGAGAAGCCAGGCAGGAAGUCUGUCCUUGGCCUCUGACUUCAGGAAAGCACCGAUCGGUUCCAGAUGGUGGACGCCGCAGCUCCCCCCAUACCACCCCCCACCCCUGGGAGCCCGGCGCCCAGUCUGAUCAUGAAAUCGCCGCAUGUUCCAUGAAGCCUGUGGCUCCCCGGCCUCCUCCAAUAGGGCAGCCCAGGAAACUACAGGCCAGGGGCUCAGGCAGGAAAGUCAGAACCUU